rnacentral:rRNA from 1 species
UACGAAGGGGGCUAGCGUUGCUCGGAAUCACUGGGCGUAAAGCGCACGUAGGCGGGUUGUUAAGUCAGGGGUGAAAUCCUGGAGCUCAACUCCAGAACUGCCUUUGAUACUGGCGAUCUCGAGUCCGGGAGAGGUGAGUGGAACUGCGAGUGUAGAGGUGAAAUUCGUAGAUAUUCGCAAGAACACCAGUGGCGAAGGCGGCUCACUGGCCCGGUACUGACGCUGAGGUGCGAAAGCGUGGGGAGCAAACGGG